rnacentral:tRNA from 1 species
GGGAAUGUGGCUUAGUGGUAGAGUGCUUGCCUAGCAUGCAUGAAAUCCCAGGUUCGAUUCCUCAGUACCA